UCUCUCCCAGGGACGUGUCAAACGUCUAACGGACAAAUAAGCUGCAGGGGUAAUGGCAUGAAUCACCUCCCAAUCAUCACCGACCUUGGGGUCACGACCCUGGACCUGGCAGAGAACAACAUCAGUCUUAUUGCCUCGCGGGGUUUCUCUGGUCUUCCCAACCUGGAGAGUAUAGAUCUGAGCAAAAACCGACUGGAUGACGACUCACUCAGCCAUCACCUCUUCUCUGUAAGUCUCACCAGAUUUUCACCACUACCAUGUUGUAUGAUUGACCUGCUGGAGAGUAAGGGUUGGGGGUUCGAGAUCUCUAGAUGCAUCUGCUAAAUGACCAGAACAGUCUUGCAUGAGUCAGCAUAUUCCUAUAACAGUAGCUGGUAAUUGGCUGACAGUAGCUGAGUCAGUAUAUUCCUAUAAUAGUAGCUGGUAAUUGGCUGACAGUAGGUGAGUCUGUACAUGUAUACUCUAUAAUAGCAGCUGGUAACUGGCUGACAGUAGGUGAGUCAGUAUAUUCCUAUAAUAGUAGCUGGUAAUUGGCUGACAGUAGCUGAGUCAGUAUAUUCCUAUAAUAGUAGCUGGUAAUUGGCUGACAGUAGCUGAGUCAGUAUAUUCCUAUAAUAGUAGCUGGUAAUUGGCUGACAGUAGGUGAGUCUGUACAUGAAUACUCUAUAAUAGCAGCUGGUAACUGGCUGACAGUAGGUGAGUCAGUAUACUCUAUAAUAGCAGAUGGUAACUGGCUGACAGUAACUGAGUCUGUACUCUAUAAUAGCAGCUGGUAACUGGCUGACAGUAGCUGAGUCAGUACAUGUGUACUCUAUAAUAGCAGCUGGUAACUGGCUAACAGUAACUGAGUCUGUACUCUAUAAUAGCAGUUGGUAACUGGCUGACAGUAACUGAGUCAGUACAUGUAUACUCUAUAAUAGCAGCUGUUAACUGGCUAACAGUAACUGAGUCAGUACUCUAUAAUAGCAGAUGGUAACUGGCUGACAGUAACUGAGUCAGUAUACUCUAUAAUAGCAGAUGGUAACUGGCUGACAGUAACUGAGUCUGUACUCUAUAAUAGCAGUUGGUAACUGGCUGACAGUAACUGAGUCAGUACAUGUAUACUCUAUAUUAGCAGCCGUUAACUGGCUGACAGUAACUGAGUCAGUACUCUAUAAUAGCAGCUGGUAACUGGCUGACAGUAGCUGAGUCAGUACAUGUGUACUCUAUAAUAGCAGCUGGUAACUGGCUGACAGUAACUGAGUCAGUACAUGUAUACUCUAUAAUAGCAGCUGGUAACUGGCUGACAGUAGCUGAGUCAGUACAUGUGUACUCUAUAAUAGCAGCUGGUAACUGGCUGACAGUAGCUGAGUCAGUACAUGUGUACUCUAUAAUAGCAGCUGGUAACUGGCUGACAGUAGCUGAGUCAGUACAUGUGUACUCUAUAAUAGCAGCUGGUAACUGGCUGACAGUAACUGAGUCAGUACAUGUGUACUCUAUAAUAGCAGCUGGUAACUGGCUGACAGUAGCUGAGUCAGUACAUGUGUACUCUAUAAUAGCAGCUGGUAACUAGCUGACAGUAGCUGAGUCUGUACUCUAUAAUAGCAGCUGGGAACUGGCUGACAGACUACAGCAGGAACACACUCUGGUGUCCUGGCUCCUCUUACAGCUUUUCACAAUCUCUUACAAACUUAAAUGUGGUACUUGAGGCAUUCUGGGUGAAACCAUUAACUCAUGUACCUUAUCUUCAUACCAAGUCUGCAAAACUGCAAGCACAUCAUGUGCUUUACACUCAGUUUGCAAUUGUAAAACACACUUAUCUCAAAACACUAAACACAGUUAUUUACAUUAGACACAUCAUUCAAAACUAACAGGUCUUAUGUUUCGUUUGGAAAACACUGCCAUACAAAAUGUCACACUCAUUUACCGAUUACCUAAACCCAGUGCUCGCAUAUGAAAACACUUAAAGCUUAUUUCUUCCCUUAGAAAUCAGAGCUUAAGCACUAUAAAUAGGCUUCGGGUUACGUUUCUUGGUUUGGACAACAAUGGAGGCCAAUUAAAGGAGAGAAAGUUAGAGGAAGAGGAGUGAGAGUAAGAGGGGGACGAUGCUGAGGAGGAGGACACGGACAAGGACGAGGAGGGGGAAGAGGACGAGGACGAGGAGUGGGACAAGGAAGAGGAGGAAGGAAAACAAUCACAGAUGAGAUCCGGGCCACUUUGGUUGAUUAUGUGGUCAACCAUGGUUUGAGUUUCAGGGAGGCUGGGCAGAGGAUCCAGCCUAACUUGAGCUACUACACUGCAUCUAGUAUCAUCCGGACAUUUUGAAAUGAGAACAGGGAAGUAAACCUACCCUCCAUACCGUGCUACUGUACUUACAGCACCGCAGCACUUACAGCACUACAGUAACAUUGAAUUUCCUACUGAAAGAAAUCCUGCACCCUGCACCCUAACCUAGACGAUCUUUCAAUGGAGGAAGAAACCGGCUGUUCACAGCAGAGCAGGAACAGCACAUAGUGAAUAUGUUCACUUCAAACAACAGCAUACGUUUAGGACAACUGCAACACCACAUCGUCACUGACAACACAACAUUCAGUAACAUAAAUAGGGUGAGUUUAUCCUCACUUGGCCUGAAACGCCAUCAGAUUCGUGUGAAGCAGCUCUACAGAGUACCAUUUGAGCCAAAUUCUGACAGAGAAACAACUGCGCUAUGAAUACAUACAAGUAAGCUAUACUAUCCUGUCAUUGGUACUGUAUUCCAGUGUAUAGUGCUACAUAUUGACUGCUCUAUGUCUAUUCAUACUGUCAUACAAUAAUGUUUAGUCUUGUCUCUUUCAGAGAGUUCUGGAACUAGAUGCUGCUGCAGAGCAUCAUGAUUUAGUCUACGUUGAUGAGGUCGGCUUUAACAUAGCCAAAACAAGACGCAGGGGAAGAAACCUCAUACUGCAGGGGUUAGAAACACCGCGCCAUCGUCAAUGUCCCUGGACAGCAUCACAAUGUGUGCAGCCAUUAAUCAGAACAGUGUCCUUCAUCAUCAUGCCACUCUUGGUCCUUACAAUACUUCCCACAUUAUCACCUUCCUUGACACCCUGCCUAAUAUCCUCAUUCCCAAUGACCGGAGGAAUGGGCCAGAGCAGUCCAGGUUUGUUGUCAUCUAGGACAACAUAAGUUUCCACCGGGCUGCUCUGGCCCUCAAUUGGUUAAUUGACAAGCUGAUGCUCAACCUGCUGCCAUAUUCUCCAUUUCUAAACCCAAUAGAAGAGUUAUUUUUAGCAUGGCGUUGGAAUGUAUACGAUCGGCAACCUCAUCAGCGCAUACCCCUUCUCCAGGCGAUGGAGGAGGCCUUGUGGUGACAUCGACGAGGGGACAUGCCAGGGCUGGAUACGCCAGUCCAGAUGCUGCUUACCCCCGCUGUUUAGCCAGAGAGAUCACUUGUGAUGUUGAUGUGGCGCUGUGGCCAGACCCAAAUAGGAGACAGGAUGCACCCUAAUAGUUUUUUUCUUUAUAGUAACAAACCUAUUUGUUUGUCUUCUAUUGUAUUUGUUUUGUCUGUUACUGUUCAUCCUGAAAUCUGGAUGAAAAUACAAUGUUUUGAGAAAGAAGUUAAUUUUAUGUUUCUGUUUCUAGGGUAAAUAUAUACUGAAUAUGCAUACAUACUGUAUAUAUCUGUGCACAUACAUGUACGUGUAAGUGCUAUGACAAACCGUUGUGGACUCCACUGCACACUGAACCUGCAGAAGACGAGAGUGUUUUACAUUUGUCACCUCCUUGUGUAGUUGGCGUGUAUAUGAGCUAAUCGAUUGGUUUGUGUGGAGAGUUUUGAUGCAAAAGAUCUUUUGCAAGAGAUGUGUGAUGUUUUGCAUGUGUGUGUGUUUUGGGGUUGUGUGUGUGUGUGUGUGUGUGUGUGUGUGUGUCUUGGGGUUGUGUGUGUGUGUCUAGAGAAAAGGAGCCAUAGUUUCAGAAAUCGCGUAAGCAAUUGUCAAGAACUGUAAGAGAUCAGCUAAGUGUGUGUGUGUGUGUGUGUGUGUGUGUGUGUGUGUGUGUGUGUGUGUGUGUGUGUGUGCGUGCGUGCGUGCGUGCGUGUGUGUACACAUGUUCAAGUGAAAUACAGUACAUGACUACAGCCAAUGGGAUUGAGAUGAAGAGAUUAUUUUAAGAAUGAAUUAUUUCAUGAUAUCCGUUCAUCCAGUAAUGACAGAGGCAGGAGGAACAGGGCGGAGUUACUGGGCGGAGUUACUGGGCGACUGACACAGCUCACUGCUUUCACUGGCUACAGAUCAAACAGACCAGACCAAUACAUGCACUAAAUAAAGAUCAGGGUCAAGCUAGAUUUCCAGAAAAUGACCAUUUUUAACAGUAAUCUAAACCGUUGUUUUUCUCCUCCUCUUGUUUUAUCUCUACUCCCUGGUAGAAUCUGACCCGGCUGAGGAGGCUCAACCUCGAUGAUAACCAGCUGACACGGAUCCCCCUGCUGCCACCUUCACUGGGGGAGCUCACGAUGAAUGGCAACAAGAUCACCAGACUCACCCCUUACAGCUUCAAAGGUGUGUGUUGGAGAGAGGUCCAAGGUUGAUUUAAUCCCCCCGUAAAUAACACACACACUUCUUUGUGACACUCA
ensembl:lncRNA